GUGUCUACUUUUUUGUUUCCAUUAGUCUUCGUUUUUUUGUCAAUCUUUUGUUUAUCUUUGUGUAUAUCUUUUUGCCUUUAUUUUUGUCUACCUUUUUGUCUAUGUUUUUGUCUACCUUUGGGUCUACCUCAGUUUCUAUACCUUUGCGUCUCUCUUUUGUUAUAUAUUCGCUUUAUAAUAUGAAGAGUUAUAUCACAGGAAGAAGAAAGUCUCACAGGAAACCCACAGGUAAUAUUCAAAGCCAUUCAUAAAAUUAAUGCAUGUACGGAAUUCUUUUAAUAUUUAAUAAACCAAGAGGUAAGAGUCUAACCUUUUCCUAUG